rnacentral:lncRNA from 1 species
CUUCCUCCUCGGGAUACUUCUUCCAGUCUUUGAAAAAUCUGCACCACAAUCAAAGAUCUUGUGUUUUAUGGCAGCUCACGUUAUGACAACUAUUAAAGAUUCAAUACAACUUAGUCUUAUAUGCUAACCACAAUGUUUGCUUGCCCUUGGACAGUACAACAGAAUAAAAUAGGAGGUGCAAAUCCAGAACAAUGUAUGUUGGGUGACAGGGCAUAAUAAUAACAAAUCUAUUGAGAACAAAGGACCAACUCAAGCUAGCAUGUGUUGAUAUGCCCCUACAGCCGAGCCAUCAUUUCUGUGCACGGUCAUGACCAAAAUGAUAAGGUCAUGCAUAGCCAAUCCUCAAAUGCACGUAAGAGGAAUGUAUAGCAUAUGGGUUAACUAACUAACGAAUAUGAGGAUCACACAAAACACAUCAAAAGUAUGAUUACUUUAAGAGAUACCCAGUCUAGAGCCUAGGCUUCCUGUUCGGAGGGCAAAGCUUCUUUUCCUGUUCGGAGAAAAACAGUGAAAUAAGCAGACACGACAAAGAUAGAUAUUGUUAUAAACUUAUGGGGAAAGCAAAAGUACAUACCUUGAAAUACCAUCGAUCUCAUCUGCUAAGGUAGAAGAAUAUCCACCCAGCAUUGUACUCUUCUAGAAGAACAAAGCAAAAAGGCAUAUUAAAUCAGCAUUCAAAUAAUGGUCUUUGCUCAAAUGAGAUAUGCAAAAGACCUCAACAUUAUUAACCCAUGGCGGACCCCACAUGGCCCCGUUUUAACUAACUCCGGCAAUAGAUAAUAUAUAUGUAUUACUCAAUAUAUCUCAUAAUGGAAAUGUCGAGAGGCAGCAGGGAGAUGAAAUAAUAUAACACUUUUUCAUAUCUUGCAUAAUUCCAAGAGCACGUAUAGCCUUCUCAAAGAAGAAAACAAAAUGGGUAAGAAAACAUCUAGCCAAUAAGUAGAUACAGAUGUAUAGUAAAGGAAAAAACAUUCAGCAUCUCAAUAGAGGAAAAAAUAGCACAGGUGCAUCAGAAAAGCCACAGUUCAAAGAAAUAUAUAUGUGUAUAAAAGCAAAAUCAUGCAAGACAACUCAAGAACUUUUAGCAAACCUACAACUGCAAGAAAAUUCAGAAGGGUAUGUUAAUAAUAAAGGAAGGGCACAGUUUAGGAUCUAAAUAGCGACAUUAGUGUUGUACCCGACGAUAGCUAGUUGUGUGAAAAUGAAACAAUAUCGACAGACGCGGCAUUUAACAAAAAAAAUGUAGGUAGAGCAAUACAAAAUAGGGUUUAAUUAUCCUUUUGCCCUCAGUGGUGUCCAUGUGCUCAGUUUUGCCCUCAGAUGCGAAUUGUCCUCAGUUUUGCCCCUAGUCCGUGCGCACCGACUCGUUCCGUGAACUCUGCCGUCUCCGUCAGGUCAACCUUUUGACUCGGCCCUUACAGGUGGGACCAGGCGGCAGAAACGGCCAAUUUUAUUCAGACCGUUGCACGCGUGGCUUGUGGGACCCAGCAAAGAGCCGUUGAGCAGAGAGCCGUUGGCGGGUGUGCUAUAUAAGUGGGCGACAUCGGCGGUGACCACGGCGACAGAGAGCACGGCGGUGACCACGGCGAGAGAGAGAGCACGGCGGCAGGAAGCUAGCUGUGGAGGGCGCGGCGGUGGGAAGCUAGCAGUGGAGGGCGCGGCGGCGUUGAGAUCCCCUUCGGCUCCGAGCUCCAUGUCUUCCUCAAGCUCCCGCGCCACCUCGCGGAUGCAGAGCCGGGCGCGUGUGGACAUGCCUGUCUUCGUCUGUCCGCGGUGCCGGGCGGGCGUUGAUCGAAGGGUUUCUCAGACACCGAGGAACCAGAAUCAUCCGUUCUACGUGUGCAGCGAGAAUGGGGUAAGAAUCGGGGCAAUUGCACCAUUUUCGUCGUCGGGAUGUUUGAGCAAUGGGUUGAUCUGUUUAGUGUUCAUGCAGGUGACAUGGUUCUUUCUUUGGGUCGAUGCUUUGGCCAAGACUCUGAUGAAUGAACUGCAAGAAGAGCAUGAAGAAUGGUUGCGCAUGCUGCCACGAACGGCAGUGGCCACACCACGAGCCCCGGAAGAAGAGAUGGAUGGCGAAGCACGCACUGACAGAGAGCUAGCUAUUGAGCUUAGGAUGUUGAAGAAGAAGGUUAGGAAGCUUGAAGAUCAAGCACUACCAAUACCCAUUUGCAAAUACUUUUGGGCAUUUGUAGGUAUGGUAAUCGCACUGGUUGUAAUGUUGAAAAUGUAUGGAAAGGCAUGAAUUAUGAAGGAAUUUGUAAUCUUGAAAUUGUUUGAGAAAUUCACCUAGUUUAAAUGUUGGUUAAAGUUGUUUAAAUGUUGAAACAAAAAGAGAAGAAGUGACCAACAUUUAAAUAUGUUGGAAAAAAAGAAAGGAAAUUAGGAAUUCAGAAACUUUUGAUCAAUGAAAUGCAGCUCUCUGCUCUGCCUUUCUGUCCGAAAAAAAGGUUGCUCUUGGGCCAAAUUCAGAGCGUAGAGCCAAGUGCAGGCUAGACUAAUGGGCCAACUGCAUCCAAUUAGGCCCAUUCAGGGGUUUUCUUGCGUAUUUUUUUGUUUUCUAUUCUGAGUUAAUUUAGGCAGUAAAUCAUAAUGCUGAAACUUUUUGUGGAAGCUAAUUGAAUUAUUCCGGAGCCAAACAAUUAAGGUUAGAAAUUUUUCGGAGCUGUUAAUUAAUCCAAUUCAAAUACACCGUGAUUUAAAUCAAAGACCAAAAUGUCAUGGAAAAUGUGCCUCAGCUCUGGUAGAGGUUUACGCCAGGUGCCAAAAUAAAUGAACAUUUUUUAAGGGCAUUACAUUGAGGAAAACAUAAUAUGUAUAAAAAAUGAAGGGUGGAAAAUGCACAAAAAAUUGGUGCGGCUGGGGACUCGAACCCAGGACCGCGUGGGUUUGUGGUGUUUAGGGCUGCGCUGGUAACCGCUAGGACAGAUGGCAAGACUUUAACAUAGGUAGGGAAGGAAGGUAUACAUAGUGAGACUGUGAAUUUUUAAAAAAAAAUAGUGAGACCGUGAAUGUUUGCACACGCGUGAGAGUGGUUUUCCUUUGUUUUGCACUUAAAUUUUGGAGGGUUGGAAGGUUAAAAAUGUAUGUUGCACUACCACAUGAUUUUGGUCAGAGUGGCACUUAGUUUAGGGUUAGAGUGGCACUUGGUUUAGGAUUUAAAGGGAAUAAAUUUACAUGUUAGUUCAUGACUUUUUGUUUGAAUGAAACAGAGGGCUUCUCACCCCCUACGAUUUUCAUUAAUGAAAACCACAAGUUUUUGAACUUCAUGACUUGUUUAGGGAAGAAAUGAUAAGUUUGGGCAUGGACAUUUUUUAACACACAUAAUGAGAUAGAACACACCGUACCAUUACAAUAACUUAGAUAAGUUCAUGGACAGUUCAUGGACACAUGACGAAACAUGACACGACACGACAUGACAUAGAAAAGCAACAAAAUAAAAAACCAAACAUGACGAGCUUGACUCCGGGCUUGAACAUCUUCAUCUUGACCUCCUUCUUCCACCUUGGCCGCGCGCGCCCCUUCAACACCAUCUUCAUCUUCACACCUCCUCCUCGUCGUCGUAGGGAAGGGAGUGCAUCUGGCCUGGAGCGGGGAAGAUGCGCUCGUAGUUGGUGUAGAUGUUGUAGAUGGUGAAGAAGAUGGCCUCGCAGCCGCACCAAAAGACUUGGCCGAGGAGCUCGCGCGCGUCAAAUGGGUUGGUGAAGGUGACCGUGAGCAGAAGGAGGAUGCCGUCGUGGUCACGAACCUCGUUGAGGGUGAACAUCCUCGGCGAGCCCCGUGGGAGGUGGGCAUAGCCGGCUCUGAGGAAGGCGCGGGUGAGUUCGACGGAACCCCUCCACCUUGAAAUAGCCCACACACGGAGCUCCCUCUCCACGAGCACGCCCGGUGGGUAGCGCAGCUCCGGCACCACAGGCAGACGGCGGAAGGUCGGCCCGUUGAAUUGCAUCUUCUUCACUUGGUCUCGCUUGGGGAGGGCUUCGUCGCUUGGGUGUUUGAAGUUGGAGAGAAUCGGAUCUGGCUUGUGGGUGGGAGAGGAAGAGAGGCACCCCAUUUAUAGGCCUGUGGGUGGGAGAGGAAGGGAGAAAGGAUGAGAACGGUGCGUGCGUGAAUCCGGACGCGUGUGUGUAUCCGUUACGUUUUGCACACUUAAAUUUUUGCAUGAAAACGAUGCAUCUUUGACCGGGCAGUGCAUGUGAACCGCUGCCCUGAACCACUGCCCUGAACCACCUAGCUCGCCUUGCUAGCCUAGCUCGCCUAGCUGGCCUAGCGCGCCUCGCUCGCCUCACUCGCAUGCAUGCACGUCGCCGCCUCCCGCGCAUGCGCAAACCCACGUAGCCGCCUCCAUGCAUGCAAGGCCUGGAAAGGCUGAGACGGGCUAUUUACUGCGAUCUCAGGCCCAGACAACGAGACGGCCCAACGGUCCAUCCAGCGCGUCCGAUAUUUGUUAAAAAAACAAUCUCCCAGCCAAUCAGAUUGCAUCUCGCGGAUCGCCCCCCUCCUCCCCGCAGAUUUCUUCUAGAAGGGUUAGAUCGACGGCCCUUGAUCACCGCUAGGGUUAGAUGAACGGUCCUUAUUCAGCGCUAGGGUUAGCGGGGUUUGGGAGGGGUUUGGAGCAGUCAAAGCUAUGUUUGACCAGAUUUCAAAUGAGCAUAAUAAAUUAAAUAAAAAUCAGAAAAAUGAAAAACCUGCGCACAUAGUCUUCUUAUGUCAUAUACUAACGNNNNNNNNNNNNNNNNNNNNNNNNNNNNNNNNNNNNNNNNNNNNNNNNNNNNNNNNNNNNNNNNNNNNNNNNNNNNNNAUUUCAAAUGAGCAUAAUAAAUUAAAUAAAAAUCAGAAAAAUGAAAAAUCUGCGCACUAGUCUUCUUAUGUCAUAUACUAACGAUUUAAAUUGAUAAACAAGCUUUACAUACAUUUAAAUGAUAAGUUCAUGUGUAUUGUAUGAUAUCUCGAGUAUCUCAAACUCUCUGGUAUGAAGUGAAGAGAAGUGUUUUGGGGAAAUGAACAUGAAAAUUUCAAAAAACUCACCACAGCUUCAUUUUGGAGUGACUAAGAAGGAUCCAUGCUUAGUUUUUCAUUUUGAUGUUUUAAACUUGUUUAAAUCUUGGUCAAAGUUAAGUUUGACCAGAAUUCAAAUGAGCAAAACAAAUUUAAAAAAAAUUCAAAAAAUGGAAAAACCAGCGCACAUAGUCUGUACAUAUAGAAUAUAUGUGUAGGAAAGUUAUUUGGCUGAUCUAGAUAAGGUCAACAAAAACCUUGCUUAGAAAUGAGGCCGUUUACCCUACCUUUGGACCCCUCUUUUUAGCACAUUUUUCAUGAAAAUUUCAAAAACCUCACCACAACUUCAUUUUGGAUUGACUAAGAAGUAUCCAGGCUUAGUUUUUCAUUUUGAUGUUUUAGACUUGCUUAAAUCUUGGUCAAAGUUAAGUUUGACCAGAAUUUAAAUGAGCAAAACAAAAUUCAAAAAAAUCAAAAAAAGGAAAAACCAUGUGCUCAUUCAAACAUCAUCCAACAGAUAUUUAAACAUCAUGUCAAACAUACUUCUAACAUAGGUCCAACAUCAUCCAACAGAAAUACAACAUGUCAAGUGAUAAAUGUUUCAUAAUACAACAUCAUUCCUUAUUCAUAAUGUUUCAUAAUUGUUCAUGGAUAGCGUUGGGGCUUCUGUCUGUUUCUUGAGCUUCUUGCCAUCACUUUGCUCCUCGUGCACCUUGUGAUCAUUGUUUCUUCUCUUCUUCUCUUGGUUGUCGGUACCUUGCGCGUCUUCUUCAAACCUACCAUAGAGCUGUGCAAAACAUAAAGGGUCCAAACAUAAACGGUAAUGAGAUCGUGUCAAGUGAUAGAUAUACAGUAGUAUUUGACCCUUGCAAGAUUUACAUACCUAGCAGAACUCCAUUUGGAGCCUCACUUGGAUCACCAUGAUCACCAUUUAGAGCCUCACUUGGAUCACCAUUUGGAGCCUCACUUGGAUCAUCAUUUGGAGCCUCACUUGGAUCAUCAUUUGCAGCCUCCAUGGACAACCCUCAGUCGGACAGUGCACUCUGUAACGUACUUGAUCGCUCUUGUCAACUUUGAAAGUACGUUCUACCUUGAUGCAGUAUGUCACAAGUGCAUUUCUACACUCAUUCAUGGAUGCAAAAACUGUACCUUCUUCCAUUUGAGGGUUCAAAGGGCCCCAUUCAACAGCUGCAAGGUCUUCGUCCUCACCCAUCGCGUCAUCAUCCACACGGACUGCAUUGUGAGCCUCAUCUUGGUUUUCAGCCCGAGGUGCCCGUCGUAAAUUCUGAAUAACAUCAGAAUAUAACUUCUCUUCAUCAACCCCAGAAUUGUAGCCAUCAGGCUCCACUUCAAGGGGGACCCUACUGCUGUUGCCCACACUUGUCGAGCCACCACGUCGUCGUGCACCAACUGAACUGUUCUGGCUAGAGAUGCCAUUACGACGACUUGAUUCUCCCCGAGAUGUUGCACCCGCCAUCCUAGGUCCAAAUGCCUGCUCAAGCACAUCAACUUGCAGCCUCACAUGAAAAUUAUCUUUCUCUUUAUGCCUAACAAACAUGGUAGCUAGCUCUUCAUCAUUACUAACUGUCACCCAAUUCUUUUCACCAUCAUAGUAUUUGUAUACCACUUCAUCAAGCAAACCCCAAGGAUAUUGGCUACAAAUUACCUCCCCAAAUUGUCUGAAACUCCAAUUACUAGCCAUUGGCAACCGAUAAUCAAAACCUCCUUGGUAUUUCUUCUUAUCCUUUGCAUCGAACAUGUACCGGUCCCUUCUAAUGUGCACCAUGAAAGCAAACCGCAACUCCAUCCUAACCGGCGAAAAACAGAGACGCAAUCAGCACACUAAUUGGGCAAACCUACUCGAAUCGAGUGUUCAAAUGCACAACUAAGCUCAAUCUAAACAAGAGGCGAGACUUACCCCUCGGGAACCCAGUCGUGGACGCGGCGGAUCUCCGGCCCGAUGCCUGCCUCGCCAAAUACUCCGGGGUCGCCGCUGCUCACCAUUUCGCCCUAGGGUUCUUCCUCCUAGUUCAAAUAGCUCCAGCAGCCCCCCACCUUUGAGCGCUCCGGCCGGGCGCACGGAAGGAGGCCGCGCCGCGAAUCGAGCAGGUGGCGGGCGCCCCACCCGUGGCGUCGCAGGAAGGUGGUGGGCAUCACAAUGAGCCGUGAAGCGUAGGCGCAGGGAGGUAGCGGCGGAGCAGGCCGUGCAACUGGUGGCGGGGCAGGUGCUGGCCGAGGCGCAGGUGGCGGCGGCGGCGGCGCAGGACAGCCGGCCGGGCGGAUGGGUGUGAGCUAGAAUGAUUUGGGGAUUUAGUUGCAGGGGCCUACAUGUCAGCUCCGGACCCACGUCCACGCGGUCCCACGUGUAAGCUCCGGACCCACAACUACUAACGCCGGCGGACGGAAUGGACUCAAAUAUGGCCGUUUGGCCUCGUCGUAGUUGCUGUGCUCGGACUAGGGGCAAAACUGAGGACAAUUUGCAUCUGAGGGCAAAACUGAGCACAUGGACACCACUGAGGGCAAAAGGAUAAUUAACCCUACAAAAUAAACAUUAAUACAAAUUGACAGGCACAAGCAUAAUCAGAAAAUAUCUACCAAGAGCAUACCGAAUGCAUGACUGUUAUUGUUUCAUUCAUAGGUCCAGCCAUGACUAUUUCAAGUUCUCUAUGGGCAACACAAACUCACCAGGAAAUGAUCAUCAUCAGGCAUCUAUGGGCAAACAUCACCUUGUUUGCUUUGUGCUCAACUACUUUCUGAAAUAGAAAUAUAGAAGUUUCAGCAGCAAGCAGCCAAGUAAAGUGACACAUUAGUAAGGCUGCUAUUUAUAUCCCAUCAUAGCAAAUCAAUCUA